ensembl:lincRNA 4930402C01Rik RIKEN cDNA 4930402C01 gene
GACACUCAAAGACCCUGGUGCCACUAAGAGGAGCAAUUGUGGAAAUCUGCCAGCCGACCCUGGCCUGCCUUGACCCUGCCUGACAGAAGCAGGCAAAAUGGCUCCCGACAGGUAGAGCGGGCACGUCAUGAGAGCAGAACUGGUCCCGUCCCUCACCAGCUGCAGCACUCAGGAGUCUGCAUCUUGCCUGGACAGCACAAUAGAACUGACCCUAGUGUCAGGAGCAUGGGCAAGCUGGUCUGUGGGCCUGAGCAUGGGAGAGGCGGUCCUGCCUCUUGUCUGCUGUGUGGUUCCUUCUCCUCCUUUUUGCCCUCACCACCUAUGGCAGGUAGGAAAGCUAUCCAAGGAUCUUGAGAGUGGAAGAACUAGCCUUGUCCCUUCCUGGCUUCAGCACCCAGGAGAGCUGGUCCUGCACCUUGCCUGGACAACAGGAUAAAACUGGUUCUGGUUGUGGAGGCUACUUGUGAGUCAACCCCAAAGGCUUGAGAGUGUGAGCAGGCUGACCAGCUCAGAUACCUCUCAGGCCCAGAUCCAGGGCUUUGAAUCAGCGCACCCCAACAUCUACCCCACCAAUGAGCUGCUGGAAUGCAUCAAUAUGCAAAGAUUUUUAUGGAGACCAAUAUGGGAAUUUUUAAAAUAAAAUUAGAACUACCCCGUG